rnacentral:rRNA from 1 species
GAUUAACGCUGGCGGUAUGCCUAACACAUGCAAGUCGAACGGAAUACUAAUUAAGAGAAUCUCACACUAGUGAGAGGUUCUCACGAGUAGUAUUUAGUGGCGGACGGGUGAGUAACACGUUGGAACCUGCCCCGAAGUGGGAAUAACUGCUCGAAAGAGUAGCUAAUACCCCAUAGUAUCCGGUUUAUCCGGAUUAAAGAUUUAUCGCUUCGGGAGGGGCCUGCGUCUGAUUAGCUAGUUGGUGAGGUAAAAGCUCACCAAGGCGACGAUCAGUAGCUGGUUCGAGAGGAUGACCAGCCACACUGGGACUGAGAUACGGCCCAGACUCCUACGGGAGGCAGCAGUGAGGAAUCUUCCACAAAUGGGCGCAAGCCUGAUGGAGCAAUACCGCGUGCAGGAAGACGCUUUUCGGAGUGUAAACUGCUUUUGUCGUCGAGGAUUAUGACUGUAGACGAAGAAUAAGGACCGGCUAACGUACGUGGCCAGCAGCCGC